rnacentral:rRNA from 1 species
GAUGAACGCUGGCGGCGUGCCUAAUACAUGCAAGUCGAGCGAACAGACGAGGAGCUUGCUCCUCUGACGUUAGCGGCGGACGGGUGAGUAACACGUGGAUAACCUACCUAUAAGACUGGGAUAACUUCGGCAAACCGGAGCUAAUACCGGAUAAUAUAUUGAACCGCGUGGUUCAAUAGUGAAAGACGGUUUUGCUGUCACUUAUAGAUGGAUCCGCGCCGCAUUAGCUAGUUGGUAAGGUAACGGCUUACCAAGGCAACGAUGCGUAGCCGACCUGAGAGGGUGAUCGGCCACACUGGAACUGAGACACGGUCCAGACUCCUACGGGAGGCAGCAGUAGGGAAUCUUCCGCAAUGGGCGAAAGCCUGACGGAGCAACGCCGCGUGAGUGAUGAAGGUCUUCGGAUCGUAAAACUCUGUUAUUAGGGAAGAACAAAUGUGUAAGUAACUAUGCACGUCUUGACGGUACCUAAUCAGAAAGCCACGGCUAACUACGUG